AUGCCGUCCUUCAUGCUGAAGCCCGCAGCCGACGCGACCUCGUCCUCCGGCUACUCCACCUCUUCCUCCUUCGAAUCCGCCGCCUCCAUCAGAACCGGCUGCUGCUCCGGCUCCUCCUCCUCCUCCGGCUCCGGCGAAUCCGGAGGCAAGCCGGCUGCGAUGCGGGCAGCGCGCCUCGCCCGGAUCUCCUCCUCAAUCUGGAACCAGCGCUCCGGUGUGAGCAUAGCAUAUGUCAUCUUCUUUUGCCGGGCCAUGACAAAGCCAGACGGCGUGGGAAGAACGGCGAAGCGGCAGAGAGGUGGAUGGGCUCGGGCUGGCGGCACAGAUAGGGAGGAGAUGGAUGUUGCUAGGGUUGGGGGACGCCAGCUGGUCAGUCCGAGUGUUUGA
rnacentral:rRNA from 1 species